rnacentral:tRNA from 2 species
UUGGGAUAUCGCCAAGCGGUAAGGCAUAGCACUUUGACUGCUACAUGCGUAGGUUCGAAUCCUGCUAUCCCAGCCAU